CCCUUAGAUGUUCUGGGCCGCACGCGUGCUACACUGAACGGUUCAAUGGGUAAGGUAGUGCGAAAGCAUGACCUAAUCUCGAAAUCCGUUCGUGCUGGGGAUAGAAGCUUGCAAUUAUCCUUCUUGAACGAGGAAUACCUUGUAAGCGUGAGUCAUCAUCUCACGCUGAAUACGUCCCUGCCCUUUGUACACACCGCCCGUCGCUCCUACCGAUUGAGCGUUCCGGUGAGGCUUUGGGAGAAUGGCCUCAACAUGAGUUUAUCGUGUUUUGCCGUUUGAACUUAGUCAAACCUUAUCACUUAGAGGAAGGAGAAGUCGUAACA
rnacentral:rRNA from 1 species